rnacentral:tRNA from 1 species
AAAGCAGUAGCUCAAUUGGUAGAGCAAUGUAAUAAGUUUUGUAAUUAUCGUUCCGGUCAAAUCAAACUUACUACUUAAGGGAUACAUGGGAUGUUGGUUCGAGUCCAGCCUGCUUUA